ACAGGUAAGAAGUAAAAAAAUAAAAUUAAGAAAAAACUGAAAAAAAUUUUUAAUUUUUAAAAUUUAAGGAGAAUUGCGGCAUGGAUCCUUCAAUUUCCUACAUCCAGAUUCUGCUGUCCACAAGGUUCAGCUUUGGGAUUCUUCUAUGUGCCUUUUAAAUCCUUUCUUAAAAUUACAGAGUCUUUUCUACCAAGUUUUAAAUCUAACGCUCUAUCAAUAAUGUAAUCUUUUAUAUGCAGUAACAUUAAACUCAGAUGGAUUAGUAGUUUAGUUUAGACGCCUUUGGGUCUGGAAGCAUACGAAUGGAUAAAACAAUUUCUUCAAGUCUCUGACAGCUUCAUAACUCUAUUUUAUCUACAUAGCUUCUUCUCAACUUCCUCUGCCUAUUCCAAGAUAUUUUCCAGGUAGGUCUGAAACGCUUUGAGUCCCGUAAAGAAAUAUUUAUGUAUCAAAUAACAAAAGAGCUCUUCCCCUACCCCUUCAGCUCCCAUGUUUUACCAUUAUAUCCAGUAAACAAAACAGAUUGACUCAAUCUUAAACAAUUCCUCCAUCACAGGAAGCCCACCGCAACCACAGCUGCAGAAAGUAUCCCUUAAACCAUCCCCAACUACCUACAGCAACACAAAGUUAAACCAAUUUCUACUGACAAAAGGCUAUGUGUGCAUGCAUUCUGAUCAGCCCCAGGAUUUAUUGUGUGAAACUCAGGCGAUAAAAAGUCACCUCCUCAAGCUACAAAACUUUUUUUUUCAUCCCAAAUAUUCUCAAUGAAAGUUCUCUUGUCAACCAGGAGAGAGUCAAAAACAACCACAAACACUAGCAGAAUGAUCCGCUCCAGGACCACAUCCCAGCUGGCUUUGCUCUGUUGUCGGUGGCUCAGAAGCAGUUUCUCACUUUCCUUUCACCCUUCUCCCCUUACUCCCCAACAUUCUCACUCGAGAAUACAUCACAUCCUCAGACCGCUGGCAAAAAAAAAAAAAAAAAAAAGGGGGGGGAGGGGAAGAGACUGCAAUUAUCAAGGAAGGGGAAGCUAUUUCAGAACCACGGUUUCCACUGCAAACGGCAAUAAAAAAAAAAAGGCAGUCUGUGUCAUCAGGUUAUGAGGGACGACGUCGUGCACUUGAAGCUCUCGGGGCAGGAUGAGACGAUGGAGCAGAAAAGACAAGGUCUGACUCUGUGCAGUGGAUUGCAGUGGCUCAAUCAUAGCUCACUCCAGCCUCAGACUCCUGGGCUGAAGUGAUCCUCCCACCUCAAACUCCUGAAUAGCUGGGACUACAGGCAACAAGCUCUGCCAAUUUUUUCUUCGAGAGUUUUGUUCCAAGCUGGGAGCCGUGGCUCAUGCCUGUCAUCCCAGCACUUUGGGAGGCCAAGCCGGGCAUAGUGGCAAAUGCCUGUGGUUCCAGUUACUUGGGAAGCUGAAGUGGGAGGAUCGCUUGAGCCCAGGAGGUCAAGGCUACAGCGAGCUGUGAUGGUGCCAUUGCAUUCCAGCACUCCAGCCCGGGCAUCGGAGUUAGACCUUGUCGUAAAAAAUAAAUAAAUGAAUAAAUAUAAAUAAAAAAUAAAAAGCGUUUACAGUAGCAUUCCCUUCAUUCUGCCCACCACCCCCACCUCACUGGCACAAGCAUCCCAGCAAAGAGCACAGCACUCUUCAGGACUACGGCGCUCAUUUCCUCAGCUGCUGGGCGCAUUACUUGUCAACACCUAUCAGCUAAAUCCCUUUCCAGGAAUUGCCCUCAGCUGAAGAAAGCUGCAUCUCACCAGGUCCGUCUGCACUGACUGGCAGAUGCAGGGCUCAGGGUGGGGCUGCUCUGAAGGGCUCUCCUGGCUCCAGAGCUCCCUUAGGAUCCGGAAGCUGAGGCAUUUGCUGUGACUACAUUUAGUUCAACUUUUUCUGCUCAAUCCUACUCCUUUCCUGCAUGAUGUUGAUUCCAACGGCAAUUAAAUCCCAUGAGUGUGGCCGGACACCAUGGCUCAGACCUGUAAUCCCAGUACUUUAGGAGCUGAGGCAAGUGGAUCGCGUGAGCCCAAGAGUUCAAGACCAGCCUGACCAACAUGGUAAAAUCGUAUCUUUACAAAAAAUAAAAAAAUGUGCUGGACAUGGCGGUGAGCAGCUGUCGUCUCAGCUACUCAGGAGGCUGAAGCUGGAGGAUUGCUUGAUCCCAGGAGGUAGAAGCUGCAGUGAGCCGUUUGUACCACUGCACUCCAGGCUGGGUGACAGAGC